UACAGAGGUGGCAAGCGUUGUUCGGAAUUACUGGGCGUAAAGGGCGAGUAGGCGGCGUUCUAAGUCAGACGUGAAAUCCCCCGGCUUAACCUGGGAACUGCGUCUGAUACUGGGAGGCUAGAGUAUGGGAGAGGGAUGUGGAAUUCCAGGUGUAGCGGUGAAAUGCGUAGAUAUCUGGAGGAACACCGGUGGCGAAGGCGGCAUCCUGGACCGACAUUGACGCUGAGGAGCGAAAGCUAGGGGAGCAAACGGG
rnacentral:rRNA from 1 species